rnacentral:rRNA from 1 species
CUACGGGAGGCAGCAGUGGGGGAUAUUGCGCAAUGGGGGAAACCCUGACGCAGCGACGCCGCGUGAGCGAAGAAGGCCUUCGGGUCGUAAAGCUCAGUCAUCGGGGACGAAAAGGACGGUACCCGAAGAGGAAGCCCCGGCUAACUACGUGCCAGCAGCCGCGGUAAUACGUAGGGGGCGAGCGUUGUCCGGAAUUACUGGGUGUAAAGGGCGUGUAGGCGGGGAUGCAAGUUAUCGGUAAAAACCCCAGGCUCAACUUGGGGCUUGCCGAUAAAACUGCAACUCUUGAGUGCAGGAGAGGGAAGUGGAAUUCCCGGAGUAGCGGUGAAAUGCGUAGAUACCGGGAGGAACACCAGUGGCGAAGGCGGCUUCCUGGCCUG